rnacentral:lncRNA from 1 species
GAGAAAAAAUGAGUAUUGCCUUCUAAAGCUGAGAUCCUCAAUGUGUUGAGAUCCUUCGAAAGAAGAAGAUGCACGAGGGGAAGAAUCUCUAACUCUAGUACUUUCAACCUUAGAAUUCUAUGACAUAUUCUGGGAGUCUUUCUAAGAAGACAUGAAAACAAAGAAAAACUUCUGAAGAAGAAUAGAAACAUUAGAGAGGAAAUAUCUACCACAAGGUAAGAAAUCAUAAAGAAGAAGUAAGAAA